UAGACUUCUUACUCGUUGAAACGUGGU
rnacentral:piRNA from 1 species